rnacentral:rRNA from 1 species
UGGAUGCCCUGGGCGCUCAUGCCGAGGAAGGACGCAUAUAACAGCGAUAUUCGUCGGGGAGGAGUUAUAAUCCUUCGAUCCGGCGGUUUCCGAAU